UACGGGGGGAGCAAGCGUUGUUCGGAUUUACUGGGCGUAAAGGGCGCGUAGGCGGCCACCGCAAGUCAGUUGUGAAAUCUCUGGGCUUAACCCAGAAAGGUCAACUGAUACUGCGGGGCUAGAGUGCAGAAGGGGCAACUGGAAUUCUCGGUGUAGCGGUGAAAUGCGUAGAUAUCGAGAGGAACACCUGCGGCGAAGGCAGCUCGCUGGGACGUUACUGACACUAAGGCGCGAAAGCGUGGGGAGCGAACAGG
rnacentral:rRNA from 1 species